rnacentral:RNase_P_RNA from 1 species
GGAGUCGGCCGGGCUGUCGCUGCGCUUAUCGCGUGGAGGAAAGUCCGGGCUCCGCAGGGCAGGACGCCAGGUAACGCCUGGGCGGCGCGAGCCGACGGAAAGUGCCACAGAAAAGACACCGCCGAUGGGGCCGGUUCUUCCGGUCCACAGGUAAGGGUGAAAUGGUGCGGUAAGAGCGCACCGCGCGCCUGGCAACAGUGCGUGGCAGGGUAAACCCCGUCCGGAGCAAGGCCAAAUAGGGGUGCGAUGGUGUGGCCCGCACUGCACCCGGGUAGGCUGCUAGAGGCGCCUGGCGACAGGCGUCCCAGAGGAAUGACAGCCCUCGACAGAACCCGGCUUACAGGCCGACUCCCACU